rnacentral:lncRNA from 1 species
CUUUCUGUUUUUUUCCUCUCAAUCGUGGUUUAGUAUCUCACUCCUCCUCAGCGCCUCUCUCCUGUCAAUCUGCCAUCAGAAUUUACUCCUUCUAUAGCUGCAUCACCUUUAAGACAGACCUCAGCCAAUCAGAAGGCUCAGGAGGUCACAUGCUGGUUGGAUCAGGCCUAUCAGGAGCUGAUAGAGGGGUGGGACUCCACUGAAGGAGAGAGCUAUGCUGAGAGAUACCAGGUCUUCCACACCUUCAUUGUGUCUUUUAACGAGCAGCGGCGGCCUGUAAUGCCAUUACUAACAGCGAUGAAGAGGACUCCUCAUCUUAGUACAGAGCAGAAAGCUCUUAGACGAGCCUGGGAUGCUCUUGCUGAGAAGCUACGUGAGUAUAAAACAGAGCUGGACCUGAGCCUUCCAUCCCCACUGGAUACUGUAGGCCGCUGGUUAUUGCGUAUUGAAGAGGUUUUAUCUGCUGAAGAGGGCGAGCCAAUAGAUCACGCCCGAGCCGCAGAGGAGGCUCGGAAGAAACUUGAGCUACUAAAGGUUUGACUGACUGACU